CAGUAGCCGCGGGAAUACGUAGGUGGCAAGCGUUGUCCGGAAUUAUUGGGCGUAAAGCGCGCGCAGGUGGUUUAAUAAGUCUGAUGUGAAAGCCCACGGCUCAACCGUGGAGGGUCAUUGGAAACUGUUAAACUUGAGUGCAGGAGAGAAAAGUGGAAUUCCUAGUGUAGCGGUGAAAUGCGUAGAGAUUAGGAGGAACACCAGUGGCGAAGGCGGCUUUUUGGCCUGUAACUGACACUGAGGCGCGAAAGCGUGGGGAGCAAACAGGAUUAGAUACCCGAGUAGUCCCUGUCUCUUAUAC
rnacentral:rRNA from 1 species